rnacentral:rRNA from 1 species
CAGUUGGGCGGUGAAAAGUUGGAGUCCGCUGAGGGGUGUGCAACAGCUCACCCGCCGAAGCGAGAAGCUCCAAGAAUGGAUGCCGCCCCAGCCAGCGCACCGCCCUCGCCUCACGGCAUAUGCCGCCGUCGCAGCAGCAGGGCAGGGCGCCGGCGUGCAAGUGGACGCAGGGGAGA